GCCCGCUUCGUCCAGCGGCAGGACACCUCGCUGGUAUCGAGGAAACCCAGGUCCGAUUCCUGGAGCGGGCU
rnacentral:tRNA from 1 species